UCCGACGCCACCCCUUAUAUCCGCCUGAUACCGCUUAGUUAUACCGCUCAAAACCCCGGUAUUGUUUAGUCGGGUAGAAAGCACGCCUCUCGCUCUCUCCGUCCUCAUCGCCUUCGUCCCGAAUCGUUUGCUCUCUCCAUCUCGCAACGCUUGCAACUUCUCCUCCUCCUUCUCUGUUCUGCCCUCCAGCAACUUCUCCUCCUCCUCUGUUCCGCUUUCCUGCAAUUUUUCUUUCAAUUUUUCCUGCAAUAUUUCCCAGAUUCUCCUCCUCCUCCUCCUUCUCUGUUUCGCCCUCCUGCAACUUCUCCUCAUUUUCUCUGUUCCGCCCUCCUGCAAUAUUUAUUGCAAUUUUUCCCAGGUUCUUCUCCUCCUCCUUCUCUGUUCUGCCCUCCUGCAAUUUUCUUCUUCUUCUCUCACUACUCUGCCCUCCUCCUCCUAUUUUUCUUCCAAUUUUUUUUUUCAAUUGAUUGCAGAUUUGCGUUUUAAUUAAAAUUUUAGGGUUUUCAGUUUUCAGAUCUUAAAAAAAAAAAAAAGAAAUUGAUCUGUUAUUUUUUUGCUUGUGCGCCCUGAGUUGGGUAUGUUGCGAAUUCAAACCCAGUUGAAGAAAUGGGUUAGGAGAUUUUUCCAACUUUUUGGCUUUUUGGUGAAUUCAUAAUAUCAUGCAUACUGGGUUCGUGUGCUGGUUUGGCUGCAGGAAGGUCUGGAGAGCAGAUCCAGGGAUGAAAUUCAGUAAAAAUUUGUUUUUUUUUCCCCCUAUUUUCUUGAAUUAUCAAUUGUUUUAUCCGAUGUUAAACCAAACACCCUAUAAAAUUAUAGAGUCAUUAAUCCGAUAUUGCACAAAACAUCUGAUUAAUUUAAUCAGUACUUUUCAAUGACUAUUUAUCCUUUCCACUAAAAUAGUCACAAAGCCUUCUUCUCCGUCGGUUUUUCUUUUUCGUUUUUCUUUUCUUUUCUAGAACUCUGUAUUCCCUUCCUCCUUCCGUUUCUUCAUCUGUAUUCCCCAAAUUAGUCAAAGUGCACAGAUUGAUAAUUACAAAAUGGAGACAUGCCUCAUCUUCAAUUCUCAAUUCCUAAUUUUUCCCCCAAAUUUCCAAUUCCCACCAAAAACUCCAAUGCUGCUCCUUCCAAAUCCAUCGGCGGCCAUGGUGAGUUUUCCCGUCCGACAACCUCUCUCUCUCUCUCUCUUUCCUUUGUUUUCUCAUCUAAAUCCAUCUGGCCAAAUCCUUCUCUCCCCCAAUUCCGCCGGCAGCCAUGGCGAGUUUUCCCGUUUGGGUGGUUCUGAUUCUAAGAUUUUUGGGGGUUCUGGGUCGUAAUCGGAUUCUGGGUAGCUCUGCACUCCUUUGCGAGGUAAGCUUGUGGUGGUGGCUCGAGGGAUUCUGGGAAGACAAGAGGCAGUGACAUAGUCCUAGCUAAUACCAAGGUUUCAGUCGGGACUAGCUAGCGACGCUUAGCGAAGUCCGGAGUGGAGGCGAGUCCGACAUAGCGCCAUUUAAGUUAGUCCCUUGCUACGCCAAACACAGGACUACACGGACUGUUAGUCCCGUCCUGUCCAAUAUAAGAAUCAAAAUGUUGCUGUAAAAAUUGUUCAUAGAGGAGAAACCCCAGAGCAGAUUGCCAAGAGAGAAGCGCGGUUUGCGAGGGAAGUGGCAAUGAUGUCGAAAGUGCGGCACAAAAACUUGGUGCAGGUACACGAAAUUCAAUUUCAUUCCUUACAGGGGCCAAAUGGGAGAAUCUUCUGAUGAAGCU